rnacentral:rRNA from 1 species
UGGGGAAUAUUGGACAAUGGGCGAAAGCCUGAUCCAGCCAUGCCGAGUGUGUGAAGAAGGUCUUCGGAUUGUAAAGCACUUUAAGUUGGGAGGAAGGGCAUUAACCUAAUACGUUAGUGUUUUGACGUUACCGACAGAAUAAGCACCGGCUAACUCUGUGCCAGCAGCCGCGGUAAUACAGAGGGUGCAAGCGUUAAUCGGAAUUACUGGGCGUAAAGCGCGCGUAGGUGGUUUGUUAAGUUGGAUGUGAAAUCCCCGGGCUCAACCUGGGAACUGCAUUCAAAACUGACUGACUAGAGUAUGGUAGAGGGUGGUGGAAUUUCCUGUGUAGCGGUGAAAUGCGUAGAUAUAGGAAGGAACACCAGUGGCGAAGGCGACCACCUGGACUAAUACUGACACUGAGGUGCGAAAGCGUGGGGAGCAAACA